UACGUAGGGUGCAGGCGUUAAUCGGAAUUACUGGGCGUAAAGCGUGCGCAGGCGGUCUGCUAAGAGAGGUGUGAAAUCCCCGGGCUUAACCUGGGAACUGCGCUUCUAACUGGCAGGCUUGAGUGUGGCAGAGGGGGGUGGAAUUCCACGUGUAGCAGUGAAAUGCGUAGAGAUGUGGAGGAACACCGAUGGCGAAGGCAGCCCCCUGGGCUAACACUGACGCUCAUGCACGAAAGCGUGGGGAGCAAACGGG
rnacentral:rRNA from 1 species